AACGAACGCUGGCGGCAGGCCUAACACAUGCAAGUCGAGCGCCCUUUCGGGGGAGCGGCGGACGGGUGAGUAACGCGUGGGAAUAUGCCCUUCUCUACGGAAUAGCCUCGGGAAACUGAGAGUAAUACCGUAUACGCCCUGUGGGGGAAAGAUUUAUCGGGGAAGGAUUAGCCCGCGUUGGAUUAGGUAGUUGGUGGGGUAAUGGCCUACCAAGCCGACGAUCCAUAGCUGGUUUGAGAGGAUGAUCAGCCACACUGGGACUGAGACACGGCCCAGACUCCUACGGGAGGCAGCAGUGGGGAAUCUUAGACAAUGGGGGCAACCCUGAUCUAGCCAUGCCGCGUGAGUGAUGAAGGCCUUAGGGUUGUAAAGCUCUUUCAGCUGGGAAGUUAAUGACGGUACCAGCAGAAGAAGCCCCGGCUAACUCCGUG
rnacentral:rRNA from 1 species